rnacentral:lncRNA from 1 species
GAGCUUACUGGGACAGGAGGGGUGGGACUGGAAGGGCCCCUCUCCCGCCCGCUUCCUCCCUUCCUUCAUCCCAGUCAGUCAGUCAGUCCGUCAGUCCGGCAAGCCGUGGCGUUAAUUUACACUGACACGCACCCCACCGCCCAUGCUCCCAGUCCUGUGGGGUGGGUGGAGAGUAAACAGCUGACAAAAGAUCACAUGAUCCAUGUAGCAUGUGCGUAGGACACAGCAAAGAGACAGGAGCAGACGGCGGGCCUCACGGGAGUGGUGGGAGCAGAAGCAGGCCUGUGCCGGGUCAAGUGUGAGCGGCUGACGUGCAGGCGAGGCUGCGUGCGGAGCCCAACCCAGGCCUUCCAGAGCGGCCUCGGAAGACCCGGGUGGGUGGCCGGGGCCGGCGGCCGGAGCAGGUGUGGCGCUUGUAAGAGGAGCUGGGGGUGGAGGGAGGGAGGGGCCCCCAGAGGAAGGCCAGGGCGGGCAGGCAGGGCAGAAGAGCCGCUCCCGUCUCCAUGGGGACCGAGAACACAGGCUGUGCACCUGUCCAAAUCCCAGCUCCGAGGCCUCAGCAAGCUCCUUGGCCUUCCUCUUGGGCACAGCACAGAAAAUACGGGCAUAAUUUUUCUUCAGCAAUUUCCCUGUCUCUGUAGGAGUAAAAGAAAACUGGAACAGUCACCUAUGUUCCUGACCAAAAAGAAGUAUAAACCGGUGAGUCAGUCUCUCCCCUGCGCUCUAGGGGCACCUAAUGUAAAACUUAACGACGUGGCCCAUCCACAGAAGGACGCGCAGAAAACCCCCAAAGAUCAGAAGAACGGAACCACAGGUCCAAAUGGAGAGAGUUAUGAACUAAAGACUCACCUGGGCCUGGACAUCAACCAUGCCGUCUCACCAUGACCCUCACUGCUGUCAGAUGUCACAGGAGGCAUAAACAGGCAUCGCCCACACAUCAGCCUGAUCGACUGUUCAUCACCUGGGGAAAGAUCUCCAUGCUGUCAACAAUGCAGCCCUCACCUUGCACUCUGUGGUCCCUGACCCCCUACACUCUUUUUGGACUGUUAUAGAUUUAAAAGAUGCCUUCCUCUGCUUGUAAGCUGCUCCUGUAAGCCCCUUCAGCUGGGAAAAUCCUGAAAUAAAAGGCCAGCUCACUUGGACUCAAUUGCUAUAAGGGGUUAAAAACUCUCCCACCUUGGCUCUGCAUCUGUGUCCUGCACAACAAGAAAGCCAUCCUAGUCAUCAAAACAGACCCACAAGGCCAUCUGAGAGGCUCUCAGAUUCAGCCCAAGCCAGAAAAGCUUUACCCUGUUCUGCCUGACCUAACCUGCCUCCUCCUCACAUUCACCAACCCCAAGCUGCUCAGCCCGCUGUGAUGCCACCCUGGCCUGUCUCCUGCACCACAGCCUCCUGCUCUGCUGUCAGCAACUUCUGCUGAGUCUGUUUGCUGCUAAAGAAUGCCGCCAUAGUUUAGAUGGAGCUCAAGCCUGGUUAAAGUCAAAAGUCCCUGCCACUGUGGUCCGUCCUGAUGCUUGGGUGAACACAGUCCUCCCACAAGUGUGUUCAAACUAGGACUGUAAUGCAACAGACAGCAAUGAAGCCUUAGAUCGGAACUGCACUGCUGUCCCGGCAGUACUCAGUGAAGGAGGCAAGAAGCCAAUAAACAUGUCUAAAGUUACUGAAGUUACCCACUGGAGGCCCCAGUGAAAAGAAAUUCUGCCAAAGCAGAUCCUGUGAGAUUGAUGGACACUUCAUCAAACAUGAACUCCUGGACAUGCUUGAGUGCCCUGUACCUCUCCUGGGAUGUGACCAGCCUCCCUCACAUGCAGGUCCACUGUCCCCGACUUGAUGUUGACUCUGACUGUACUCUGAGAGGAAGAAUAUUGCCUGUAUCAGCCUGAAAUGCCUGGGAAUCAUAACCCUGAGCUUCUGAGAGGCUCAUUUCCAGAAACAUGGACAAGGACUCACCCCCAGGCCUUGCUAUCAAUCACGCCCCUUUGGUGAUCGAGCUCUGUCCCAAGGCAACCUCUACCUGCACCAAAGAGUACACCCCUCCUGCCUGUAAAGCCAGUUAAGAUCUCCAAGCUGCCAACGCUGCCACAAUGGCCCUCCAUAUAUAUUUCCUCAGUCCUCUGCCACCCGUAGCCUGCUUGCACACCUGCCUGGACCUAAAAAGUGCCUUCUUCUGCCUUCGGUUGGCUCUUGUCAGCCAUCCCCUCUUCACCUUUAAGUGGAAAAACCCCAGCUCUGGAUUCAAAAGCCAACUGACCUAGACUCAACCUCCCAGAGGUUCAAAACCUUGUUUCCUCUUAGAAAAAGCACUUCUCAUUAAUAACACUCAAGCUGCCUGCUGGAAAGACACAAAAGCUCUGCUGCAAUAUCUGGCGGAAACUGGUUACAAGAAAGAAACUCUGCAUAUUUCUUGGAGCUGCUGGCUGCUAUAGAAUCUGGAUCCUUGAGUUCACAGGAACAAUGAUGCUUACUCAGACUGUCAACCCUGGGGAACACCCAGUGGCCUCUAAGGGCUGCCUCUCCCCUUUGCCUCCAAGGUCUCACAGCCACUGUCCUUCCAAGCAAGAAAGCCGACAAACUCACCUUAGACUGAGAUUGAACUGUCCAGGUGCCACAUACUGUACUGGGACAAACGGUUCUAAAAAACGACCCUCUGACAGAUGCUGAGUACACCCUGUUUAUAGCUGGAAGUAGCUCUGUUAGGAAUAAUAGGCUAGAUAUGCUGUGGUCACCGUGGACAAAACUAUUUUGACCAAAACUCUCCUGCAGGGAUGAUCUGCACAGCAAACUGCUAUUUGGAAACCUGCCACCCGUGAGGCAAAAUAAUCUGGUCCAGAGAGGUCUAAACCCCCACCAGGGAUCCAAUUGACUGAAACGUCAACCCCAGCCAGAAAAACUUUUACAAGUUUCAGAAUCCAGCCUUAGAUCCAGAAAAAUUUACCUGGACAGCUCCUCCAAGGCUCAUUCUGAGGAGAAAAUGCACACUGACCAGCCCACACCUGGCUGAAGGGCCUGAGGACAGCACUUACAGGGUUACUCCAUACCUAUUCCCCUUGAUUUUUGUGUCUUUUCGGGCUGCUUACCCCAGUCUCACUUCCCUGCCAUGCUGCUAACUGUGGUUUUUGUUAAUUGACCUGGAUUCUGCUUACCCCAGUCCUUGCUUCCCCUCCACCUGCUAGCUGUUUUUUUUUUUUUUUCCUUAAACUCUGUGGACGGUUUCCCCAAGAGAACAGAACAAUGAAUCAAACACUUGACCAAGAUUUGGUGAGCAUCCAAGGCACAUUGGACACUCUCCUAGAUCAGAUUAACUCCCUCACUACCUUGCCAGAGUAAUGUUACAGAACAGACAGACCUAAAUUAUACCUCUUCCUAAAAAGCAACUUAGGGAAAAACUCUAUAAGACAAUCUUGGGGACCUUGACUAGAGCCCAUCCUAGAAUCACUGACAACAGUAAUGUCAACUGCUUCUAGUUGGGCCUUGUCUCAGAAGAUCGCAUGUAUAUACCCAGCAAAGAUUUGCCAGGGAAAGCAAAAGAGGGGGGAAAUAUAACAGAAAAUAACACCCCCCCAUACAGUAUACUUCAGUUUCUUAGUUGCCCAGGUAAUAGUUUCUGUUCCAGUUCUGGUUUCUUUUGUCACUUAGAAACUGCUGGUCACUGUGAUGCAUACUCUGUAAACCAAACCCCAAUUACAAUCCACUCUGCCUCUGUAUUUCCUGCUUGCUUACCCAACAUAAGCCCUACACCACCAGAGACCAGGGCCUCAUAUUCUGGGAGUGAUCCUGAUCAGUGCCUGUAGACAUAAAUAAAUCUGCCCCCAAAUCCUGGGUGUUGUUUCA